CGCAGAGCAGGCAGACAGAGAGACAACGUGAACGCUGGAAGUUUGAAACUUUACUGUACUUUGGAUGCAGGAUGUGACACCUGCUCUCUGUCUUAUAGAGCCUCAGUAACGCUACUGUGGACCACGUGGUCACAGGGUUCAGUCUCAGAAGCUGAUAAAGAGCGAAACCAAUAACUGAUAAAGUAUCAGACAUCAGGCAGCGCUGUCCAGUGAGGACCUGGAGAUGGACCCUUUCCUGAACACUGACCAGAUAAGCAAAAUCUGAAAUAACUGACUCCUUGGAGCAACUGCCAGGACUUACUGAUACACGACCACAGAGAGACGGCAGCUGUCCAUCCCUCUCCCCACACUGCCCUGCAAGGACGCAAACACACAGUUCACCAACAGCCAAAUCCAAGAGCGGCUGGAAAUUUCCAUAAAGGAUAUUUAGGAGGCGAUGCCAAGACCCCGCGGCAUUGUAUCCAUCGUUUCUUUCCUCCCAGUGACCCUGCCGUCCUCCCAUCUUUGCUAUUCGCCGCCGCCACCUCACCUACAGCUCCACAGUUCAUUCACUGGUGAUGUACUGCGGGGGUUGAUUAUCUUUAAAAACAGACUCUUUUCGACAGAUGCCUUGACCAAGUGCUCUGUUUUGACAUGUAAGCUGCAGCAAAACAUAUUUUACUUAAGUGAAAAUAGCAGUAACAUUCAAAAUGCAUCGAGGUUUCGGCCACAG